rnacentral:pre_miRNA from 1 species
UGAGACCUCUGGGUUCUGAGCUGUGAUAUUGUUCCUGAGCUGGGAUCUCCGGGGUCUUGGU